UUUCCGUAGGUGAACCUGCGGAAGGAUCAUUCAUAAUAAAGUGUUUUAUGGCACUUUUUAAAAAUCCAUAUCCACCUUGUGUGCAAUGUUAGAUCUCGUCAAUCUUGGCGAGAUUUUUAUACAUCAACCCAUUCUUUAACUAAUUUGUCUGAAAAAUAUUAUGAAUACUUAAUUCAAAAUACAACUUUUAACAACGGAUCUCUUGGCUCUC
rnacentral:misc_RNA from 1 species